rnacentral:rRNA from 1 species
UACGUAGGGACCGAGCGUUGUCCGGAUUCAUUGGGCGUAAAGAGCUCGUAGGCGGCCGCUCAAGUCGAAUGUGAAAACUCGAGGCUCAACCUCGAGCCUGCAUUCGAUACUGGGCGGCUAGAGUCUGGUAGGGGGAUCUGGAAUUCCUGGUGUAGCGGUGGAAUGCGCAGAUAUCAGGAGGAACACCGGUGGCGAAGGCGGGAUCCUGGGCCAGUACUGACGCUGAGGAGCGAAAGCGUGGGGAGCAAACAGG